rnacentral:lncRNA from 1 species
AUGAUCGUUAGCACGGUUGAUAUAUCAGUUUUAUACUCUGCUGAGGUUGCAUAUCUUUACCCACAAGACUUUCCUGUUUAGCCAGGGUUAGCUAGACCCUUGGACACUUCUAAGGUGAAUGGCUAGGGAUCCACUGCGAGGCCUUUACAAAGUUCCACUAGAGGAGAGAACCCGCUACGGAUUCUGCGCCGAAGGUGAUGUAGGAAUUCCUUUUUCGGAAAGCUAAAAAUAUAGUCCAACCCGAGGACCUCUCUACACCUGCACUCCUCCACCCCACUUGCCCUUUUUGGGAAAGGAUUAACUCACACUAGCUUUCCUAAUUAUUCAACUAAGGGUGUCCCAUUCCACCCUUUUGGUAGCACUGUUUUCCUGGGUGGUUGAUCCAUGUUCCAUUUAACAUAAUAAUCUUAUCGUGAACAAUAAUUAAACUAACAGUAUUAAUGGAACAUUAUCAUAAUUCAAUAUAACAUUAAUCCCAAAUCCAGGUAGAGCAAUAGCGAGUCUACCCGAUAGUUCAUUUGUUUGUAAGGUGUGGGGUAAAUAAAACUAGGGAAACCUAUUGGGUCCCAUCAAAUUAACCUGAGCAUGUCACAGUGAUUAACAGGAACAUUAUUAGGUAAAGAAGCAUGAUCAAGGGCACAACAUGCCUGUGACUUGUGAUAAUAGGCGUUGACCCAAAAGUUGGGCUUCAAGUUACUCGUCACCUCGCCUCUACUCGUAGCAAUACAUACAAUCAAGCAAAUAAUGGAUAUGGUAACAUUACACCAAAGCAUAUAAAUAAACAAUGUAAGAAUAUUCUACGCGCCGCUACGAGAUCGUAGGUUCGAGAACCACUAAAAUCGGAGUUAUGGUUAAAAAUAUAGUAUUCUAAAGUUUUAGGUUCUUUAAAAAGUAAAACUUUAUUCUUUAUUGAUUAAUAUAAGUCAGAAAGGAUAUGAAUAAAUAAUUAAUUUAUCUUUAAUUUAGGUUAUAACUUGAGUAGAGAUCACAUCUUAGUCAGAUUAUAAUUAUAGGCAGAUUGACUUUGACUAGAAUGAUUAUCAACUAUCAUAAGUUAAAUAAAUACCCAAUUAAAGAGGUAUGUGGAAUGAUACAAAUAAUGUUUUUAAUGUGUAGACAAUUUUACUACAAAGCUAAUGCAACUAGAACAUACCAAUUUGGAGUUAAAUCGCAAAAGUUAUGGAUUUUCUAAGGUUAUUGGAUUUAUUUUUAUACUAAUAAUCAUUAUAUCGGAUUUAUUUUACUUAAUUUAAUAAACUGUGGAUUGCGAGUACUAUUUCUAAGAAGAACAUGGUUCAAUAUAUAAAUUCUAGGACCAAUCCGCAAGACUCUUUACACAGUCUUGGAUGGCGGGUUAAUUUCUUAAAAAUGUGAGGGCUCUUAAGCAUAUAUCCUACGACGAAGGGGGUACGGUUCAUUAUGGACUGCCCGAUCAUACCCGAGUGGCCUAGAUUAGAUCUUCAUAACACCUGGACCAAUACGAGUUCUCAAUAAUUGGAUCUCAGAUUCGUGGUCAAGGUUUGGCCACACCAUCGAUUAAUCUCCUCUAUCCGACUCUGAUCCAGUGGAUCAGAUCAAAAAAAUGAAGGGGUACGUGGACGCUCAAUCUCAACCCUCGGUUACUCGAUCAACGGCCAUGUGCCUCAUCCACACCACAACUCUUACCCACGGCGGCGCAGAACAGGGCCCCACGAUAGCGUAUUCUCCCCUACGGCGGCGCCAUGGUCGCCGAGCACCCAAACUCUCCCCACAGCUCCAUCAUCGACACGAUUGGGAAGAAAACAACGAGAAGGCUACUACGGUUUGGAUAGUAGGGGACUUACCAGAGUUGGUGAGGUGAUGGCCUGUAGCCACGGCGAUGGGAGGCGUUGUGGCUGUGAAGGCCGACAAGGGAUUAUCGGCCGGUCAAGCUUUAGGAGUCUUCAAUUUAGCGCGAUGAAGAACUUGGGCACAAUUUUGAGCGCAGUAUAGAGGCAUGGAAGGGGAUCACUAACGGUGGCCGCAACCUUUCUCUUCGCCCCGCUGAUGGCUCACUCUGAUCCCCAAUUGCUCACGACGGCGGUGGCUAUUAACUUCUAUGAUAGCCCUCGGCGGUAUAGUACUAGAUGGCCAAGGCAGCGCCGAGCUCGGGUUUUAUAUUGGAGCAGAGCUAGGAUCGUAGGGGGGAGAAUGGUUGAAUAGCCCGAACUUUAUGCGCGUUUUGUUGAGGGGAUAGGGAUGGUCCUGAUGGGGC